GUUUUUUUUGAGCCUAUCUUCUCUUUUUCGUUUUAAAUCAAGAUUCAGAGUUCAAUUCUUGAAGAUUUUGGGGUAAAGAUUGGAUUUUUAUUUGGAUUUGAUUGAUUCAUCUCUACCCUCCCACCGACAGUUUCUUCAGAGACCCCCUUUUUAAUGGAAACCAAUUUCAUCUUUUUUGUGUUUUUGCUGUUUAUUUUGUCUGCAACUUGUCAAGAUUCCGAUCUUGAAACUGAUUGCACAAACAAAUGGAUCCAUAUCAGGCAUCUACCACCUCAAUUCAAUCUUGACCUUUUAUCAAAUUGCUCUGCAUAUCCUCUGUUUGAUAAUUUCUGUCCUUAUUUAGCAAACCAUGGCCUUGGUCAAAAGACUCACAACAAAUCACACAGCUGGUAUCGCACUGAUCCUUUUAUGCUUGAGCUUGUUUUUCAUCGUAGAAUGCUUGAAUACCCUUGUCUUACAUCUGAUCCUACUCAUGCCAAUGCAAUUUAUGUGCCUUAUUAUGGUGGUCUUGAUAGUCUUAAGUACUUG
rnacentral:misc_RNA from 1 species